GACGAACGCUGGCGGCGCGCUUAACACAUGCAAGUCGUGCGGUGUCGAAGGCAAGUCUUACGACAAGCCUUCGACACAGCGGCGAACGGGUGAGUAACACGUGAGUAGCUGUCCUAAGGAGGGGGAUAACGCCUGGAAACGGGUGCUAACACCCCAUAUGCCUCGCAAGAGGUGAAAGUGUACUUGCUACAGCCUUAGGGUGUGCUCGCGGCCUAUCAGCUAGUUGGUGAGGUAACGGCUCACCAAGGCUAAGACGGGUAGCCGGCCUGAGAGGGUGUACGGCCACACUGGAAUUGAGAUACGGUCCAGACUCCUACGGGAGGCAGCAGUGGGAAUCUUGGGCAAUGGGCGAAAGCCUGACCCAGCGACGCCGCGUUGGGGAUGAAGCCCUUCGGGGCGUAAACCCAUGUUGUAGGGGACGAAGAAAGUGACGGUACCCUACGAGAAAGCCCCGGCCAACUACGUG
rnacentral:rRNA from 1 species